rnacentral:rRNA from 1 species
UACGUAGGGUGCGAGCGUUAUCCGGAAUUAUUGGGCGUAAAGAGCUCGUAGGCGGUUUUGUCGCGUCUGUCGUGAAAGUCCGGGGCUUAACCCCGGAUCUGCGGUGGGUACGGGCAGACUAGAGUGCAGUAGGGGAGACUGGAAUUCCUGGUGUAGCGGUGGAAUGCGCAGAUAUCAGGAGGAACACGGAUGGCGAAGGCAGGUCUCUGGGCUGUAACUGACGCUGAGGAGCGAAAGCAUGGGGAGCGAACAGG